GCCGGGCGCAGUGGCGCGUGCCUGUAGUCCCAGCUACUCGGGAGGCUGAGGUGGGAGAAUCAUUUUAGCCCAGCAGUUCUGAGAGGCUGUAGUGCGCUAUGCCAAUCGGGUGUCCGCACUAAGUUCAGCAUCAAUAUGGUGACCUCCCGGGAGCGAGGAACCACCAGGUUGCCUAAGGAGGGGUGAGCCGGCCCAGGCUGGAAACAGAGCAGGUCAAAACUCCUGUGCUGAUCAGUAGUGGGAUCGCACCUGUGAAUAGCCACGGCACUCCAGCCUGGGCAACACAGCAAGACCCCAUCUCU
rnacentral:SRP_RNA from 1 species